rnacentral:rRNA from 1 species
AGUGAACGCUGGCGGCGUGCUUAACACAUGCAAGUCGAACGAGAAACGGACUUAGCUUGCUAAAUUGCAGUCUAAGUGGCGCACGGGUGAGUAAUGUAUAGGUACUAUGCCUCUUACUAAUGGAUAACAAUUGGAAACGCUUGAUAAUACCUUAUAUGCCUUUAAGACUAAAGUCUGCAAGGGAAAGAUUUAUGGGUAAGAGAUUAGCCUGUAUUGUAUCAGCUAGUUGGUGAGGUAAGAGCUCACCAAGGCUAUGACGCAUAACUGGUUUGAGGGGGUGAUCAGUCAAACUGGAGCUGAGACACGGUCCAGACUCCUACGGGAGGCAGCAGUGGGGAAUAUUGCACAAUGGACGAAAGUCUGAUGCAGCAACGCCGCGUGGAGGAUGACACAUUUCGGGGCGUAAACUCCUUUUAUAUAGGAAGAUAAUGUCGGUACUAUAUGAAUAAGCACCGGCUAACUCCGUGCCAGCAGCCGCCGUAA